GAUGAACGCUGGCGGCGUGCCUAACACAUGCAAGUCGAGCGAACAGACGAGGAGCUUGCUCCUCUGACGUUAGCGGCGGACGGGUGAGUAACACGUGGAUAACCUACCUAUAAGACUGGGAUAACUUCGGGAAACCGGAGUUAAUACUGGAUAAUAUAUCGAACCGCAUGGUUCAAUAGUGAAAGACGGUUUUGCUGUCACUUAUAGCUGGAUCCGCGCCGCAUUAGCUAGUUGGUAAGGUAACGGCUUACCAAGGCAACGAUGCGUAGCCGACCUGAGAGGGUGAUCGGCCACACUGGAACUGAGACACGGUCCAGACUCCUACGGGAGGCAGCAGUAGGGAAUCUUCCGCAAUGGGCGAAAGCCUGACGGAGCAACACCGCGUGAGUGAUGAAGGUCUUCGGAUCGUAAAACUCUGUUGUUAGGAAAGAACAAAUGUGUAAGUAACUAUGCACGUCUUGACGGUACCUAAUCAAAAAGCCACGGCUAACUACGUG
rnacentral:rRNA from 1 species